rnacentral:lncRNA from 1 species
UGUGGGUGUUAACAGGGGACUCUGGAGGUGGGGGGUUUCCAGAGGUAGGGCAGAUAUCUGGGGGUUAGUGGGGUCUGUGAAGGUAGUGGGAAACCCUCAGGAUGGGUGGGUGCUCUAGGGCUUCAUGAGCGUCCUUGGGGACUUAGAGUGUGUCUCUGGGGGUUAGUGGAGGGCUCUGUGGGUGACAGAGGGUUCUGGGGUUAUCAGUUUUGGGGGCUAGCUGAGGGUUCUGGGCUUUGGGCAGGUUCUGGUUGCCAUGAGGAAGGAGCUACUUCACUUCAAGAUGGUUGAUGGAUGAAGGAAAGUUGUGUGCUUCCCCCAGCUCCUUUUCCUGCAUACGAGUGCCUUGUUACAGAGUUAUGUUGUUCAGCCUCUGCCACCUUGUUCCCAAAGUGUUGAAACUUCCAAGGACCUGUGCAAACAUAGGGAAGGCCUACUGUCAUCUGUUAGAGCAGUGUGAAGGAAGGCUGCAAAACUGAAGAGCAACCUGAGGCAUCUCACACUGGAAAACAUGAAUUGUCGGAUCUCAAAAGCUGCUGACUUCUCACGGUCUUGUUCUCUUCUACUUGUGGGUUAAUUGGAGUUUUCCAGAGGGUACUGAGCUCUCACUUUCAUGGUUGUAGACAAUUAGGAGUGCUGGGUGAGGGAGCAUUAGCAUGAAAUAAUCCUAGUGCAAGAUUUGUUUAGUUCCAUUGAUGACACAUUUUAAUUAUAUUGUAUGAAUGUUUACUUAAAAAUAGGCUGUAGCGUGCUGCAGUUAAAGAGUAAACUUGUUCUUGCAACUGCUUUCUCUGUAGGAAUGACAGAUUUUGCCUUUUUUUCCCCUUCACCAAAUGUAAUUAGUGUUUUCCGUUUAUUUUGAGCAUGUGAGAAUGCAGGCAAUUGACUUUAGGAGUAACCUGUAAAAAAAAAAAAAAAGAAGAAGAAGAAUACUAAUGUAGGAGCCUGAUGGAUUAUCUUUGCCUUAU